CAGCCGUAAACUAUGCGCGUUAGGUGUAUCGGUGACCACGAGUCACCGAGGUGCCGAAGGGAAACCGUGAAACGCACCACCUGGGAAGUACGGUCGCAAGGCUGAAACUUAAAGGAAUUGGCGGGGGAGCACCACAACAGGUGGAGCCUGCGGUUUAAUUGGAUUCAACGCCGGACAUCUCACCGGAUAAGACAGCGGAAUGAUUGCCGGGCUGAAGACUCUGCAUGACUAGCUGAGAGGAGGUGCAUGGCGUCAGUGACU
rnacentral:rRNA from 1 species